rnacentral:rRNA from 1 species
GUGUCAGCAGCCGCGGUAAUACGGAGGGGGCUAGCGUUGUUCGGAAUUACUGGGCGUAAAGCGCACGUAGGCGGAUUGGAAAGUUGGGGGUGAAAUCCCGGGGCUCAACCCCGGAACUGCCUUCAAAACUCCCAGUCUGGAGGUCGAGAGAGGUGAGUGGAAUUCCGAGUGUAGAGGUGAAAUUCGUAGAUAUUCGGAGGAACACCAGUGGCGAAGGCGGCUCACUGGCUCGAUACUGACGCUGAGGUGCGAAAGCGUGGGGAGCAAACAGGAUUAGAAACCCUUGUAGUCC